AUGUAUAUGCCUACAACAUUAAUCUAUCGAAUCUCAUUAGAACUCCACACUUAAGCGCUCUCGGGCUAGAGUAGUAAUGAGAUGGGUGACCUUCGAGGAAAUCCUAUUGUUUUACAUG
rnacentral:rRNA from 1 species